AUUAGCUACAGUGGCCUCCUGGGAUCACCAUUUGCAAUAUAAGCCCAGUGACUUAAAGGAGAGAGUGGAGAGGAAUCAUGGUAAGGCUUGUAACUCCAAGGAUGAAGAACAACCAGGGCUUGGGGAUGGGUGAAGAAUCUUCUGAAGAAGUGACCUGGCUACUCUUAUAAAGUGUCAGGUGUCAUGGGUUCAGCCAUCUCACACUAUUUAAAGUGGGGGACCCGUCCUUCACUGAUGGAGUGGACAGGUGAUCAGAGAACCAUCCCACCAAGAGAAAGACCCUCUUGAGGCCCUCCAUCUCUGCAUGUCAGGUUCACACCUUCCAGAAUGCAGAGGGACCCUGGGAAGAGCUGGAGAAGAGAAGAGGAAGAAGGAUGGGAGACGGAAGAUUCUCAGUUGGAAAAAAAAACAGCAGCAAGAAACUUUGUUUACCUUGUUGGUCAGAUUAAAUUUCUGCCACCAAAAGAAAUCGAGAUUGAAAAGCUAAGUUUAAUUAUGGAGAAAAUAAAGUUACAUUUUUUUUUGCACAACAAAGUCAUUGACUAUGAAAUUUAUAAGCAUCAUAUGAAACAGACAAUCUUAUGAAACUUACCAAGGAUGUUUCCAGCAACCCCUUGUUUAGGGAACAGAGUAAAGGGGAGAAAAGGUAGCAUUUUCAAAUCUCAAGAAAGUGUUUUAUGUCAGAAUUCAAUUUGUCCCAGAGCACAGCUGUCAAGAGCUUUGUAAAUCUAGGCCUCUAGGAGGAGAGGGCUAAAGCACUUUCAGGAUAAAGGCUAGAAGCCUAAGGCCCUGAUCAUUUGGGCAAUCCUUGUUAUUGCAUUUGUUGUUCCAUUCUCUGACACUUCUAAAAGGCUGUGGAAUCUCCAGAUGUGUUCAUAAAAUAGUGGUAGCAAUUAUUCAUUGCUUCUAGGAAAGGGAAAUGGAUAUGUUACCAACAAAGCCAGUCCCCAUACAAAUGGAGUCUUUCCCCGUUUAGUGCUGUGAAGCCAAUAUACAAAACCAAAAGUGAGUGUCAAGUAGUGCAGGCUUUAUUCCAUGGCCACUGUAUUAGUCAGGGUUCUCUUAGAGGGACAGAACUAAUAGGAUAGAUGAUAGAUAGAUGAUAGAUAGAGAGAUAGAUAGAUAGAGAGAUAGACAGAUAUAAAGGGAAUUUAUUAAGUAUCAACUUACAUGAUCACGAGGUC
rnacentral:lncRNA from 1 species